UACGAAGGGGGCUAGCGUUGUUCGGAAUUACUGGGAGUAAAGCGCACGCAGGCGGAUUAGUAAGUCAGGGGUGAAAUCCCGGGGCUCAACCUCGGAACUACCUUUGAUACUGCUGAUCUCGAGUCCGGAAGAGGUGAGUGGAAUUCCUAGUGUAGAGGUGAAAUUCGUAGAUAUUAGGAAGAACACCAGUGGCGAAGGCGGCUCACUGGUCCGGUACUGACGCUGAGGUGCGAAAGCGUGGGGAGCAAACAGG
rnacentral:rRNA from 1 species